CAGCCGCCGCGGUAAUACGGAGGGUGCAAGCGUUAAUCGGAAUUACUGGGCGUAAAGCGUGCGUAGGCGGUUCGUUAAGUCUGUUGUGAAAGCCCCGGGCUUAACCUGGGAACUGCAUUUGUGACUGGCGAGCUAGAGUAUGGCAGAGGGGGGUAGAAUUCCACGUGUAGCAGUGAAAUGCGUAGAGAUGUGGAGGAAUACCGAUGGCGAAGGCAGCCCCCUGGGCCAAUACUGACGCUCAUGCACGAAAGCGUGGGGAGCAAACAGGAUUAGAUACCCCAGUAGUCCCUGUCUCUUAUAC
rnacentral:rRNA from 1 species